GGUGGUGGGUAGGAAAUAAUCAAAACACGGAUGCACCACUAGAUGGCAACAUCUAACUAAGCUAGAAUGCGCAUAACCUGACGUACCAGUAUGCUCUCAUAGGUCCUGGAAUUCACAAGUGUUUGGGCAUUCCCAAAAGUUAGAUAUUAAUUUGCAGCAAAACAUAAAUGUGAUUUUAUUUUAGCUUGCCUAUUAGCUGUGGUGUUGCAUGCAUCCUAUGGAUAUGACAAAUUGCUGUAAAGUAACAGCAAAACCGCACAAGAGAUCAUUUUCAAGAAAAAUUAAACCCUUUUUUUUAUUUGCAACCUAAUUGGAAAUAUUGUUUCAUGGAUCGAAUGAAGUGUGUGUGCAGCCGCUGUUUACUUGCAGCAAAUAAAACAAUAUAACCGGUUUACCCGCGCGCUCAGACUAACUUUUUUCUUUUGGUCUGUGUGUGUGUGUGUGUGCGCUUCUUCACUGCUGGAGUGUGCAGCGUGUGUGUGUGUGUGUGUGUGUGUGUGUGUGUGUGCGGGUAUAUAUGUGUUGGGGGGCGCUGAAUGCAGCGAAACACCGUGUCCCGCCUGUACUGCGUGUGUGUGUGAGUGCGCGCGCCCUCGCUUUAACGGUACUGCUGUAACAUUAGUCAUCCUCACGAGCUCGAACCGCACGCGACUCGGAUCAGCGAGAAACUCGGCAGCGGUUCGGUCGCGCGCGGAGGCAGACGGAGUGCAAGAAGAGAAGAAAGAUAGGGACUGUGAGACACGGAGAAAGACAGUCCUACACGGCUGUCUCAGCACCUCUGCUUUUGGACAGCGCAACAGCUUAAAAAAAUACAUAGUUGUUGAGAUUGAGAAAAUUUCCAUCUUGCAAAUAAAAUAAAAUCAAUAAACAAAUCUCGUUGUGGACGGAGUUCGGUUCGAUUCGGCGAGAAAACACCACAUAUCAACAGACGCCCGGGUUAAGUUAUAAACAGAAAGCGGAAAAGCCACAGACGGAAGUCACUCCAGAGGACAAAGCUCUAUCUCAGGCCUAAGGAGCUUUUGAAAAACCUGACCUCAAGGAGAUGAAUAUUUAUGGACUGUGAACAAUGGAAUAAGAGACAGCACCUUCUAGUAAAGCCAAAUGUAUAUUUCAUUUUGUUGCACCUACCUUGAUAUAUUGAUACAACAAUGAGCUUUAAAAUGCUUUUACACCCUUGAAAGGGUCCACCAUUGGUCACCUUUUUAAGUAAGAAAAAACACAGAAGGAUAGACAAGAGCUGGGUUGUUGCAAUGUCUCCACCUUUAUUAAGUGGAGUCAGAUUGACCAGCUGCUGUGGCUUAUGUUCACUGCUUGUUCUUCUAUGUCUCUUUCUGACCACUUUGGCAGCAAAAACUAAAGGCCCAGGCCAUGCAUAUCUAAACUCUAUUCGUAUCGAUGGAGACAUCUCUCUGGGAGGACUGUUCCCAGUGCAUGCAAGAGGCCAUGGUGGAAAGCCAUGUGGAGAACUGAAAAAGGAGAAGGGAAUUCAUCGUCUGGAGGCAAUGCUUUUUGCUCUGGACCGCAUUAACAAUGACCACGACUUGCUUCCCAACAUCACACUGGGGGCCCGUAUUCUGGACACUUGUUCCCGAGAUACACAUGCUCUGGAGCAAUCACUAACAUUUGUCCAGGCACUUAUAGAGAAGGAUGGGAUGGAUGUGAAGUGUGCUGAUGGUGGCUCUCCCAUCAUUACAAAGCCAGAAAGAGUUGUGGGUGUCAUUGGUGCUUCUUCUAGCUCAGUGUCCAUCAUGGUAGCUAAUAUCCUGCGCUUGUUCAAGAUCCCCCAAGUGAGCUAUGCGUCUACAGCACCAGAGCUGAGUGACAACACACGCUAUGACUUCUUCUCUCGAGUUGUUCCCCCGGAUACAUACCAAGCACAGGCUAUAGUGGACAUAGUGAGGCAUAUGGGCUGGAACUAUGUGGCCACUGUUGCCUCAGAGGGCAAUUAUGGAGAAAGUGGAGUGGAUGCCUUUAUCCAGAAGACCCGUGAUGAUGGACAUGUGUGUAUAGCACAGACAGUGAAAAUUCCUCGUGAACCCAAACUAGGAGAGUUUGACAAGAUUAUUCACACACUUGGAGAAAAUUCCAAUGCCAGAGUGGUGAUCAUUUUUGCAAGUGAAGAUGAUAUAAGGCGACUUCUGCAGGCAGCAAAGAAAGCCAACAAAACAGGACAUUUUAUUUGGGUGGGAUCAGACAGCUGGGGCUCUAAGAUCUCUCCUGUGCUACACCAAGAGGAGAUGGCUGAAGGAGCUAUCACCAUCCUACCCAAACGCCAGUCUAUCAAAGGGUUUGAUAACUACUUCAUCGGCAGAACACUGGAAAACAACAGGAGGAAUGUCUGGUUUGCUGAAUUCUGGGAGAACAAUUUCAACUGCAAACUCAACCGCAAUGCCUUGAAGAAAGGAACUGGCAUUAAGAAAUGCACAAAUCAAGAGAGGAUUGGGAAAGAUUCAGCAUAUGAGCAAGAGGGCAAAGUGAUGUUUGUGAUCAAUGCUGUAUAUGCCAUGGCACAUGCUCUCCAUAACAUGCACAGAGAACUGUGUCCUGGAAAGGUGGGACUUUGCUCAAAAAUGGACCCUAUCGAUGGAAGUCUCCUUCUUAAGUACAUCCGCAAAGUCAACGCCACAGUCACAGCUGGCAAUCCAGUGCAGUUCAAUGAGAAUGGUGAUUCCCCAGGUCGUUACGAUAUCUUCCAGUACCAGAUUAACAACAAAACUGCUGAGUACAAAAUCAUUGGCAAUUGGAUUGACAAGCUCAACCUUAACAUCUCAAUGAUGCAGUGGUCUGGUGGUGUGCAGCAGGUGCCCUCCUCAAACUGCAGCCAACCCUGCAAACCAGGCUGGCGAAAAAAGAUUGUGAAAGGUAUUCCCUGCUGUUGGCACUGUGAGCGUUGCGAAGGCUACCAGUACCAAGCGGACCCAUUCACUUGCAAGAUGUGCCGCUUUGACCUACGCCCCAACAAGAACCACACAGCCUGCCAGCUCAUCCCUGUUAUAAAGCUAGAGUGGAGCUCACCCUGGGUGGUUAUACCUGUUUUUCUUGCUAUCCUGGGAAUCAUGGCUACACUGUUUGUAGUGCUCACGUUCAUACGCUACAAUGAUACACCAAUUGUUAAGGCAUCAGGACGGGAACUCAGCUAUGUCUUGCUGACAGGCAUUUUCCUUUGCUAUGCUACCACUUUCCUGAUGAUUGCCACUCCAGAUGUUGGGAUUUGUUCAUUCAGACGCAUUUUCUUGGGCCUUGGAAUGAGUAUAAGUUAUGCUGCAUUGCUUACCAAGACCAACCGCAUUUACCGUAUUUUUGAACAAGGGAAGAUGUCAGUAAGUGCCCCACGAUUCAUAAGCCCAGCCUCCCAGUUGGUUAUCACCUUCAUCCUGAUCUCACUACAACUCUUGGGGGUGUGUAUAUGGUUUGUGAUAGAUCCUCCCCAGGCUUUUGUGGAUUAUGAAGACCAACGCAUGUCAAACCCAGAGAUGGCACGAGGUGUACUCAAGUGUGAUAUCUCAGACUUGUCACUCAUCUGUCUGCUGGGAUACAGCAUGCUGUUAAUGGUCACAUGUACAGUCUAUGCCAUUAAGACACGUGGGGUGCCUGAGACCUUCAACGAGGCAAAGCCUAUUGGCUUCACCAUGUACACCACCUGCAUCAUCUGGCUUGCAUUUAUCCCAAUCUUUUUUGGCACUUCACAAUCAAUGGACAAGAUGUACAUCCAGACAACCACUCUUACCAUCUCAGUCAGCCUGAGUGCGUCUGUGUCUCUGGGAUUGCUCUACAUGCCCAAAGUUUACGUGGUACUCCUCCACCCUGAGCAGAAUGUGGCUAAGCGCAGCACACGUAGCUUGAAGGCUGUGGUCACUGCCGCCACCAUGUCCAACAAAUUUAACCCCAAGGCCAACCUCAGACCCAAUGGAGAGGCCAAGACUGAGCUGUGUGAGAACCUGGAAACUCAAGGGCCAUGCAGAAAGGGGCACAUGGAUCAAGAUUUUAAAAUACCAUCUAUAGAAUGACCUGCUGCAAUAUAGCAAGCAAUAUUCAGAGUUUUACAAGAAACAAUAAGUGACAAUUCAUUUUUUCAACAAAUUAUCUUGGAUCAUCAUCAUCAUCAUCAUCAUCAUCAUCAUCUCUGUGAUUAACCAGUUUAUCCUGGUGAGGUGGUUUCAGAUGCGGUUGUGGGAACACUGGGCUUGAGGACUUAGCCCCAGACAAACAUACAUCAGCUACAGCAACCACACAAUGUAACAGAAGGCAGAUUGCAACUGAGAACCAUCAGACUAUUGUGACUGGAAGUCAGGCCAUUACAGUUGACUACUCUCAUGGUUUCUUUCAGACAGGUGAACUUACAGAAGAGAACUUGGGCAGUAUACUAAAAUAUUCCAGUGAAGACCAGAUAAAGAUCCUAAGGGGGACAUCUUUAUGUCUCAGGAUGUGACUCAUAACUUGAUCUCGUUAUUCCAAAGGAUCUACCUACCAGUCAUCCCAAGGGAUCCCAAAGAAUCUGCCCAACAGAAAAGCACAAGAAGCAAGUCUAAGUCACUGCUAUGGACCUCAGUGAACAGACGAGCUUCAGUGCAAUCAAAACAAGAAACCCAAUUGAAAGGACUUAAAAAUUGUUAUGAACAGUGGUGCAUGUGUUAAACAGAGAAUGUAAAAGUAAAUAUGUAUGCAAUGCUUCUCUGUUCUAAUUGGUAUUCAAACUCUUACAUGUCUGUUUGCUUAUUCAGAAUAGACAAUAAUUUGACCUGAUGAAUACACAAUGCUCUGAAAUUCUGUAUGGACAAUGUAUUAUGUUGAAAAAAUCAGUCAUUUCAAACAUCUGACAUAAGACAUUUUCUUCGCUGAGUGUUUUUCAAGUCUGCAUCUUCAUAUCGAACUACCCAGAUCUACAGUAGCUUGGUCAGACACCCAUUUUCUUUAAUUACACUAGGCUCAGCCUUAUGGUAAAUUUAUUUAAUUAAAUCUUAUUAAUAUGGUUGAAAAUAAAUAAAGUCACAGUAAGCUAUAAUUAUUUUUUUUACAAUGCUUUGGAGUUUGAGCCUUAUUGGAAAAUAAAAUCUCUUGACCGUGUCCUGACAAAAGUCCAUAUGUCCAGGCAGACAUACAGUCUCACUUGCUAGAUUAUUAGGUGUAUUGACUGUAGUAAUUCCAUCAGUUAAUUCUAGCCAUGCAAUUUUUUUACUAUAACAAAACUGCCAGUCUCUCUAUGGUGUGGGCUAAUCGUCCUCUGUGGCAGUUUCUGACUAUAGAACUUUUGUUGGCUGAAUAUUUCUUCAGUGACAACGAGGUGUUUAAGAAUCAUAGCAACACUGCUGCACCAGAUACACUCACACCACAUCAUCAACCAAAUAAUCUUUGGUCUUACUGGUGGUUACUAAUCCACUGAUAAACAAUUUAGGGUAAACAGUUGUCUAUAGGAACAGAGGCUACAGCAAGCAACUUAAAAGUGCAACUCUGUAGAAGAUGUUCCAGAAUAAAAUGACCAAUGACUGUAGCUACAAAGUAAUUAUGUGCAAUAAACUGGCAUCUGAGCAUAAUGUUUGAUGUGAGGACCUAUAAUACUAAUAAUUAUAUUUUUAUAGGUAACACAAAAUUGCAGUGAUGCAGUUUGCUAUGGAGAAAACUUUGGAUCCAGGGGCCAAUGGGUAAUCCCUAGAGUCCAAAAUUCUCAAAAGCCUAAGUGUGAUCAGUCAUGCUUUUUCUAUAUUAUUAUUUCUUUGCUACAAUAAUAAAAAAAAGUCUUUACCCAUUGAAAACAACAAUCAUCUAAUAAUCUGAAGCAUAGGAAAGCAAACAUUCUUCAAAUGAUUGACAGCAUUUUUAAAUAUGUUACUAUACUGUGAACUAAUCUGUGUGUGUACGUGUGUGUGCACUAAUGUAUUGAAACAUUUGAUUGUUUAAUUGCAACUAUGUAUAAUUGUGCAUAAAUAAAGAGCAAAUAUCUGAUGUUA